rnacentral:tRNA from 1 species
GGCUCUGUGGUGCAAGGGACAGUGUGUUAGACUUCUAAAGACCAGGAAAAGCCAUUCAAAGGUUGUGGGUUUGAAUCCCACCAGAGUCA